AUCCAAUAGGCUCGUGGUCCCUGAUGGUCCUGGACCACUGAUUUGAGGCCUUUCUGCUUCCUUUGAUUCAGUCUUUGGCAGAGACCCAGGAGCAGGAGUCCUUGAUGGCACCUGGCCCUUUCUAGUCACCGACAAGGGAAACCUGAGAAACCAUUCUCAGAAAUGGAACUAAAUUGACACAGCAUUUGUCUCCUCCAGAGGAUACAGCACCAAGGCGCCAUCUUGGAAGUAGACUGGAGCUCUUAGCAGACCAGAACCUGUGGGUGUGUUGAUCUUGUACUUCCUGACCUCCAGAACUGCAUAUUAUGAAUAUUCAGUGAAACAACGUGUGUGCUCACCAGGCAGGAAGAGCUCAGCAAAUGGUGGCUGGUCUGGAAAUUAUUGUCAUCACUAUAAUCCUCAUCGACAUCCUCAGCCUUAUUGUCAUCAUCAUCAACCUCAUCAGUGUCAUCAUCAGCCUCAUCAACGUCAUCAUCAGCCUCAUCACUGUCAUCAUCAGCCCUUUGUCAUCAUCAUCAUCCACCUUGCUGUUCUCUUCCUUGUUGACAUCAUUAUCCUCAUCCUCCUCAUCACCAUCAACAGCAUUAUUUUUAUUUUUUAUUCUUCCACCUGUAAGAGUUUCUUUUCCUCCCUCUUAUUGUUUUCCUCUUGGGAUGACUAGUGGUGAAGGAAGUGUCAGAGGCAAUGACCUCACAGCUGUCGUUGCCAUGGGUGACACCUCCCAGAAAGAGCUUAUUGGAACUUUCAGUCCAGGGGAGUUUCUGCUGUUCCAGGAUGGAGGAAAUGUUCAAGAACUGUGGAGCAUCUGAGAUUUUUUUCCUACUUUUGAUGUCCACCUAGUCAAAGUUCAGGUAGGCUUAUUGUCUAUUAUAAAAGCUCCAGGUUCCC
rnacentral:lncRNA from 1 species